UACGUAGGGGGCGAGCGUUGUCCGGAUUUAUUGGGCGUAAAGAGCGUGUAGGCGGCCAGGCAGGUCCGCUGUGAAAACUCGAGGCUCAACCUCGAGAGGUCGGUGGAAACCGUCUGGCUAGAGUCCGGAAGAGGAGAGUGGAAUUCCCGGUGUAGCGGUGAAAUGCGCAGAUAUCAGGAGGAACACCGGUGGCGAAGGCGGAUCUCUGGGCCAUUACUGACGCUGAGGAGCGAAAGCAUGGGGAGCGAACAGG
rnacentral:rRNA from 1 species